UACGUAGGGGGCUAGCGUUGUCCGGAAUCAUUGGGCGUAAAAGAGCGUGUAGGCGGCCCGGUAAGUCCGCUGUGAAAGUCGGGGGGCUCAACCCUCGAAUGCCGGUGGAUACUGUCGGGCUAGAGUGCGGAAGAGGCGAGUGGAAUUCCUGGUGUAGCGGUGAAAUGCGCAGAUAUCAGGAGGAACACCGAUUGCGAAGGCAGCUCGCUGGGACGUAACUGACGCUGGAGAACGCGAAAAGCGUGGGGGAGCAAACAGG
rnacentral:rRNA from 1 species